GAUGAACGCUGGCGGCGUGCCUAAUACAUGCAAGUCGAGCGAACAGACGAGGAGCUUGCUCCUCUGACGUUAGCGGCGGACGGGUGAGUAACACGUGGAUAACCUACCUAUAAGACUGGGAUAACUUCGGGAAACCGGAGCUAAUACCGGAUAAUAUAUUGAACCGCAUGGUUCAAUAGUGAAAGACGGUGUUGCUGUCACUUAUAGAUGGAUCCGCGCCGCAUUAGCUAGUUGGUAAGUUAACGGCUUACCAAGGCAACGAUGCGUAGACGACCUGAGAGGGGGAUAGGCGACAUGGGAACGGAGACAGGGUCCAGACUCCUACGGGAGGCAGCAGUAGGGAAUGUUACGCAAUGGGCGAAAGCAUGACGGAGCAACGCCGAGUGAGUGAUGAAGGUCUUCGGAUCGUAAAACUCUGUUAUUAGGGAAGAACAAAUGUGUAAGUAACUAUGCACGUCUUGACGGUACCUAAUCAGAAAGCCACGGCUAACUACGUG
rnacentral:rRNA from 1 species